rnacentral:misc_RNA from 1 species
GUCUUAUUGAUUAUAAUUUUAAGUCUAAUCUGCCCAGUGAUUUAUUAAAUGGCUGCAGUAUUUUAACUGUACAAAGGUAGCAUAAUAAUUAGUUUCUUAAUUAGGAACUGGUAUGAAAGAUUGAACGAGACAAUAACUGUCUUAAUAUAAAUUUAAGAAUUUUAUUUUUAAGUUAAAAAGCUUAAAUUUUUUUAAAAGACGAGAAGACCCUAUAGAAUUUUAUAUUAUUUUUAUAUUUAAAUAAUAGUAUUAAAAUUUUAAAUUUUAUUAAGAGUAUUUAAUUGGGGUGAUUGAAAAAUUAAUUUAACUUUUUUUUUAUUUUUUACAUUUAUUUAUGUAUUAUUGAUCCAAUAUUUUUGAUUAUAAGAUUAAAUUACCUUAGGGAUAACAGCGUAAUUUUUUUAGAGAGUUCUUAUCGAUAAAAGAGAUUGCGACCUCGAUGUUGGAUUAAAGUUAAUUUUUGAUGCAGAAGUUAAAAUAUUAGGUCUGUUCGACCUUUAAAACUUUACAUGAUCUGAGUUUAAAUCGGCGUGAGCCAGGUUGGAUUCUAUCUUUAAAUAGUUAUUAUAUUUUAGUACGAAAGGACCAAAUAUUAUUUAUAUUAAAUUUUAGAGAAUAUUAUUAUUAUUUUGGCAGAUUAGUGCUUUAAAUUUAGAAUUUAAAUAUGUAAAUUUUACAGAUAAUA